rnacentral:rRNA from 1 species
UACGGAGGGUGCAAGCGUUAUCCGGAUUCACUGGGUUUAAAGGGUGCGUAGGUGGGUUGGUAAGUCAGUGGUGAAAUCUCCGAGCCUAACUUGGAAACUGCCAUUGAUACUAUUAGUCUUGAAUAUUGUGGAGGUCAGCGGAAUAUGUCAUGUAGCGGUGAAAUGCUUAGAGAUGACAUAGAACACCAAUUGCGAAGGCAGCUGGCUACACAUAUAUUGACACUGAGGCACGAAAGCGUGGGGAUCAAACAGG